rnacentral:tRNA from 1 species
GGGCAGGUACCUAAGCGGCCAAAAGGACCACGCUGUAAACGUGGCGGGCUAACGCCCUUCCCAGGUUCGAACCCUGGCCUGCCCA